GUACUAGAGGAGGAAGUAGAGGUACUACAGGAGGUACUAGAGGAGGAAGUAGAGGUACUACAGGAGGUACUAGAGGAGGAGGUAGAGGUACUACAGGAGGUAGUAGAGGUACUAGAGGAGGUAGUAGAGGUACUACAGGAGGUAGUAGAGGUACUAGAGGAGGUACUACAGGAGGUACUAGAGGAGGAAGUAGAGGUACUAGAGGAGGAGGUAGAGGUACUAGAGGAGGUAGUAGAGGUACUAGAGGAGGAAGUAGAGGUACUAGAGGAGGAAGUAGAGGUACUAGAGGAGGAAGUAGAGGUACUAGA
rnacentral:lncRNA from 1 species